UACGUAGGGACCAAGCGUUGUUCGGAUUUACUGGGCGUAAAGGGCGCGUAGGCGGCAAUUCAAGUCAGCUGUGAAAUCUCCGGGCUUAACUCGGAACGGUCAGCUGAUACUGCUUGCUAGAGUGCAGAAGGGCAAUCGGAAUUCUUGGUGUAGCGGUGAAAUGCGUAGAUAUCAAGAGGAACACCUGAGGUGAAGACGGGUUGCUGGGCUGACACUGACGCUGAG
rnacentral:rRNA from 1 species